rnacentral:rRNA from 1 species
GACAGAGGAUGCAAGCGUUAUCCGGAAUGAUUGGGCGUAAAGCGUCUGUAGGUGGCUUUUAAGUCUGCCGUCAAAUCCCAGGGCUUAACCCUGGACAGGCGGUGGAAACUACCAAGCUGGAGUACGGUAGGGGCAGGGGGAAUUCCGGGUGGUAGCGGUGGAAGUGCGUAGAGGAUCCGGAAGAACACCGGUGGCGAAGGCGGUCUGCUGGGCCAAGACUGACGCUGAGGCGCGACAGCGUGGGGAGCAAACAGG